rnacentral:ncRNA from 2 species
AUUCAUCGUUUGGGGUGGCGCACAGCGUCUGAGAUAAUACCCAUUGAACCUGAUCCGGAUAAUACUGGCGAAGGGAAGAGCGGACAAGAAAAUAG